GGUGCUAUUAUCCAGGUGAUAUCUAUCUGUUUGUAUAAUACAGAUGUUCUACGAUAAUCUUAUAAAAACUUGUAUCCAAAUAAUCACAAUGAAGAAUUGCACAUCUUACUAAUAAUCGCUCUCGUUAAACAUUCAUCAAUGAUUUACCGAAGUCUGGCUUGUUUAAGGAUGGGUGACUUCCAAUAAAUCCAUACGUCCUAUAUCAAUAAUAUUUACGAUAUUAAGUUUUCAUAUUAGACAUAAUAUUUCUAUCUACCAUCCAGAUGUACGAUUUAGAAUUAGAUAAGAGAGUUCUUCUCCUACCUUGAACCAGCCAAUUAUA
rnacentral:lncRNA from 1 species